CAGGGGUUGUUCUUCAUCAGCUCCGGGUUCAGGAAGGGAUCCUCUGGGACACCAUCCUCUAUCCAUUUUACCAAACUGUGUGGAGAGAAAAAUAGAAAGAGCGGCAUUUUUUAAAUUCCUGAGCCACCCCCAAGGAUUUGGUUUCAAGCAUCAGUGCAGCUAUCAGUCGGAUCGAUCUUCUUCCCAAAGAUCUUGUAAUAAGUUCCUAAAACUAUAUGCAAUUAGAAAAUCUGAUCCGUCCAUCCGACAUAGUGGGAUCAGCACUUCUUUUACACAACCUGUAGAGACUAAUGCAUCAGUAAUAUGCACUGCAGGUCAUAUCCAUUUCAUCCAUGGAAGUAAGAAAUGCAAUUAGCUAAAGCCAGAAUCACUCCUAUGGAGACAAAAAACAGCAGCGUAUUUUAUUGUGAGAUAAGAGAUAACUAAUUACAGGUCAUGUCUUUUUGCCCCCUGCUGGCCAUUUGAAAGAAUGCAGAUUUAAGCCACUUCUUACUGGCUUUACUUUCAAACUCGGAAGCUAAUCUUUUACGUACAAUAAUCUUACAGAUGACUUUUUCUGCAAUAAUCUUGUAAUAGAAUGAGUUAUUUUUAUUGGUAAUGUUGCUCCGUUAUUGUAGGGUCUUUACCUUAUAAUAUAAAACAUUGUGAGGUCAUUGUUGUGAUUUGUUUCUAUUAAAUAAAACUGAACUGAAUUGAAUCAUUAAUCCCGCUUAAAAAAUGCUGAUCUGUUCCUGUUAAACAGUAUAUUCAGGUCCUCACAUAACCCACUGAGGUACUCAUUACAAACAAUGUAUACCUAUAUCUGCACCUGUACGUAUCAUCUGAUUUACAAUUAAUAAACAAUGCAACAUUAAUAUCAGUUACAGGAUCUCUCAGCGGCCAACUCUGUGCAAAAGUGGAGUAUUUUUUCUCUUCAGCAGUGUCUUUUUUGGUCCGUUCCUCCCUCCUGCUCUCUCUUGCUCCCCUCCCACGCUUUGUGUCCACUCCACUCUCUCAGUAAUACGCAGCCCCUCUUGUAUUGUGCUUGUGUUUGUGUACCCCUGUGCGUGCUUUUAUGAGUCAUGUGAGGAUUCGGGUGAGAUGAGUGCUUGUCUAGUCUGCACUCAGAAUUGAUCUUG